CCUUCAAUUCAAUACUUUUAUACUUCAGACUUCACAACUCUUCUAAACUCAUAACAUUCUGAUUGCUCGUUUUCACUUUGGCUUUACAAGACUACUGCUUCUUUUUACUUGUUUACUUAAAACUGGUAUGUUCUUGUUUUAGCUCUUAGCACCACUCUAAUGUGUUUACUUACAACCUUUACAUUUAUUUCUACUUUACUAUUUAUGCGAAGUUAAAUGUUAACUAUGCAUGUUCUUUUCUUUCAUCUGUUUCUAUUGUGAAUCCCUACCCCCUGUUCCUUUUUAUGUGUUUGAGUUAAAGUUCAGAGCAUGGAAACAUCAGAAUUGUUGCUCAUGUUUGGACGUGACCCUUUAAGGGGUCCUAACUUCCAAAUAAUGUGUCCAACAGGAUGGUUGGGGUAUGCCAGUAGCUCCAAUUGUUGGGUAAGACCACCCGCUUGUAUUGGCUCUCCCCAGAAUCCCCUCUAUUGCACUCACACUCAUUCCUAUCUUCUAAGUUCUGCCCCCUCCUAUGAGUCAUGCUUUGGGACCUUAAGUUCCCUCUGAACUUGGACACUUGAGGGCUGACCCUUCCACACUACACUAUGUCUCAAUUCUGCUAUGAAUUUGGGGGUAAGCACUGCCCGGAGUCCAGGAGGCUCUUGGGAACUCUGACACACCCAAAAAAUAAGAAAGGCUUUGGAUUUGGAUCUUUGGAGUUGGUCUACUGCAUGCUUCAGGAAGGAAACCUAAAUCAGGCUCUCCUUGGUUGGAAUUUUUAGUUUUUUC
rnacentral:lncRNA from 1 species